rnacentral:tRNA from 1 species
GCGGAUGUAGCUCAAUGGUAGAGCCACAGUCUUCCAAACUGUUUACGCGGGUUCGAUUCCCGUCAUCCGCUCCA